rnacentral:lncRNA from 1 species
GGCACAUUUAUAUAAAAAUCCCACAAUAAGUAAUAAAUAAAAGUAGUACCAAAAAAAUAGUAAUGUUUGAAAAUGUAGCAUUGGCUCUACUACACUGCCGUUGGCUCUACUACACUGCCGUUGGCUCUACUACACUGCCGUUGGCUCUACUACACUGCCGUUGGCUCUACUACACCGCCGUUGACUCUUCUACACCGCCGUUGGCUCUUCUACCCUGCCGUGGCUCGACUACACCUCCCGGGUUUGCUCUCUACACUGCCGUUGAUCUACUACACUGCCGUUGACUCGACUAAACUGCCGUGGACUCGCUACACGACACUACUGCUGCGUUGCUCUACUACACCGCCGUUGGCUCUACUACACUGCCGUUGGCUCUACUACACUGCCGUUGGCUCUACUACACCGGCGUUGGCUCUUCUACACCGGCGUUGACUCUUAUUUUUUACCUGCAACCAGGGGAAAAAUAUUCUAGACCACCUUUACUCCAUACACAGAUGCAUACAAAGCUCUCCCCCGCCCUCCAUUUGGCAUAUCUGACCAUAAUUUUAUCCUCCUGAUUCCUGCUUCCAAGCAAAAACUAAAGCAGGUUGUACCAGUGACUCGCUCAGUACAGAAGUGGUCAGAUGACACGGAUGCUACACAACAGAACUGUUAUGCUAAUACAGACUGGAACAUGUUCCGGGAUUCAUCCAAUGGCAUUGAGGAAUACACCACCUCGUCAAUAAGUGCAUCGAUGACGUCGUCCCCACAGUGACUAUAUGUACAGGAGGCAACAUCCGCAUCGGGCUAAAAGCUAGAGCCACCGCUUUCAAGGAGAGAGAGACUAAUCCGGACGCUUAUAAGAAAUCCCGCUAUGCCCUCAGACGUCAAACGAGCAAAGUAUCAAUACAGGAUUCAGAGAGCAGUGUAGUAGGAUACAGAUGCUUGUCGGAUGUGGCUUGAAAACUAUUACAGACUACAAAGGGAAAGCUGGACGCAAGCUGCCCAGUGAUGCGACCAGACGAGCUAAAUGCUUUUUUAUGCUCGCUUCGAGGCAAGCAACACUGAAGCGUGCACAAGGCACCAGCUGUUCUGGAUGACUGUGAUAACCUCCUCGGUAGCCGACGUGAACAGGUCAACAUUCACAAAGCCGCUGGGCCAGACGGAUUACCAGGACGUGUACUCAAAGCACGCACGGACCAACUGUCAAGUGUCUUCACUGACAUUUUCUUCCUGACCUAGUCUGUAAUAUCUACAUGUUUAAAGCAGACCACCAUAGUCCCUGUGCCCAAGGAAGCAAAGGUAACCUGCCUAAAUGAUUACCGCUCCGUGGCACUCACGUCAGUAGCCAUGAA